rnacentral:rRNA from 1 species
GUCCUAGGGGCGCAGCAGUGAGGAAUAUUGGUCAAUGGGCGGGAGCCUGAACCAGCCAAGCCGCGUGAAGGAAGAAGGCGCCAGGCGUCGUAAACUUCUUUUGUCGGGGAACAAAGGGCGCCACGCGUGGCGUUGUGAGUGUACCCGAAGAAAAAGCAUCGGCUAACUCCGUGCCAGCAGCCGCGGUAAUACGGAGGAUGCGAGCGUUAUCCGGAUUUAUUGGGUUUAAAGGGUGCGUAGGCGGAUUUUUAAGUCAGCGGUAAAAUGUCCGGGCUCAACCCGGGCCGGCCGUUGAAACUGGGGAU